AUUUAUAUAAUAUAAAAAUUAUAUUUGAUUUCCAAUCAAAAAAUCUAAUUAUAAAAUUAGUAUAAAUA
rnacentral:tRNA from 1 species